AACGCACCUUGCGCUCCUUGGUAUUCCGAGGAGCAUGCCUGUUUGAGUGUCAUUAAUAUAUCAACUUCUUCAACUUUUGCUUGUCGAGUGUUGGAUGUGGGGGGUUCUUUUUUUGCCGGGUCUCUUUCAAUUGAGGUCGGCUCCCCUGAAAUGCAUUAGCGGAACAAUUUGUUGACCGUUCAUUGGUGUGAUAAACUAUCUACGCUAUUGACGUGAGCCAGUUCAGCUUCUAACAAUCCAUUUACUUGGAUAAAUUUUUAUUAAUGUGACCUCAAAUCAGGUAGGACUACCCGCUGAACUUAA
rnacentral:misc_RNA from 1 species